rnacentral:rRNA from 1 species
GGAAAACCCGGGCAGUGGGGCGGGGUAAGACGGGGGUGCGAAGGGUUGUCAGGAGUGAAGGGGUUGAAAGGGGGGGUGGGCGGACAGGUAAGUCUGGGGUGAAAUACCCAAGCUUAACUGGGGAACGUCAAUGGAUACUAUGUGUCUUGAAGAUUGGGGAGGAGAGCUGAAUAGGUCAUGUAGCGGUGAAAUGCUUAGAUAUGACAGAGAACACCAAGUGCGAAGGCAGCCUGCUACACAAUUAUUGACGCUGAGGCACGAAAGCGUGGGGAUCAAACAGGAUUAGAUACCCGAGUAGUC